rnacentral:rRNA from 1 species
UACGUAGGGUGCGAGCGUUGUCCGGAAUUAUUGGGCGUAAAGAGCUCGUAGGCGGUCUGUCGCGUCGAUCGUGAAAACUUGGGGCUUAACCCUGAGCUUGCGGUCGAUACGGGCAUCACUGGAGUUCGGCAGGGGAGACUGGAAUUCCUGGUGUAGCGGUGAAAUGCGCAGAUAUCAGGAGGAACACCGGUGGCGAAGGCGGGUCUCUGGGCCGAUAUUGACGCUGAGGAGCGAAAGCGUGGGGAGCAAACAGG